UAAAAAUCUUUAUAAAUAAAUGAAAAAAGUUUAUAUUUAAAUUUAUUUAAAUAAUAAUUAUUUAAAAAAUUAUUGUAUAUAUGAACUUGAAAAUUUUGAUGAAAUUUUUUUUCUAAAAAGGGAAAAUUUCUAAAAGUAUUUUUGAAUUAUAUAAAUAAUACAUAAGAUUAUUCAAAGUUUACAUUAUUGAUGAAUUGUGGAUAAUAAUAAUGUAUUAAAUUAUCUCGUUAAGUUGAGAAAAAUAUGGAGUAUUAAAUUAAACAUGCAUCUACAACAGGUGUUUGGAUGCAAUUCGAUUGUUAUGCAAACGACCUCCAUUACGAAUACAUUCUCUCUCUUGUGAAUCUAUUCUGAAGAUCGUUACCUAUAUUUGAAAGUACAGUUUAACCGAUAUUCUGUGAACGCGCGCGUGUAACGGUGUCGUGUGAAUGGAAGAACGUAUAAUACAUUAAAAAUUAUAUUUUUCUUUCAUUGCAAUUCUUCACUGGAUAAUAAUAUUUUGCUAUUAGAUUAAAGUUGUUAAUUUUUCUAUUCAAUAUUAUAUUAACAUUAAAAUUUUGUUCUACUUUUAUUGGAAUUUUUAUGCAUUUUUAUAAUCUGUAUUCUAAAAAGAAGAAAAUAAUCAAUGAUAGAAUAGAAGACGAUAAUCGAUUUUAAUUAAUUCAUUAGGCUAAUUAUUAAAGUCGAUGUGAUUCAGUUUCAAAUACCAACACCUGUGCGUUUCCUCGCAAUUUAACAGAGAAGCAGGUUCUUGUAUAGGAAGGCAAAUAUUCAAGAGAAAAUGAAUUCGAAAUCGUGAAGCGGGAUACUGACUUCAUUGUUAUGCGGACAACGUUGCUAGGUCACCAGUGCAUUUCACGCGACAAUGCACGACGAUAAUCCUCCUUUGAUUUGACGUCUCUUCCUUUUCAUUCUUUCCUCCCUCCUCUUAUAAUAUUAUUAUUUCACGGGACCAGGCCUCGAGUUAUAACUGUACAUUUCUGUAGUGGCACGAUAGGUCUUGGCAUUAACUAUGUUACGUAAUGACUGGUUUUCUCGGAGAAUGAAUUCUUGGUGCGCGACCUGCCUCUUUUUCCUUCUUCGAGACCGUUCGCUUCAGGGACCACACGAGUAAAUCCCAAUGUACAGUUACUUAUUUGUACAAACAUGAGAAACUCGAGCGACGAUAUCGGUCAACGGACCCCAAACUUGUCCAUCCUCUUUUAUAAUAUAAUUGACAAAUAUUAAAAAAACUUCUAAUUGCGAAGAUAGUGAAAUUUACUUAUAUCUUCUACAAUUUUCAUAUUGAAAUUCUUGUCAUUUUUUCUUUUAUAAUAAUUAUUAGAUCAAAUUCUAGAUCUUUAAAAACACUUUUAUUAUUAUUAAAAAUUGAAGGACGCAUUAAAGUUAAAUUAUUUUUAUAUAUAUUUUGAAAAGUAAAAUACUAGAUAUUUAAAAAAAUACUAGAUAGUUUAAAUGGCAGAAUCUUUAUCCAAAAAACAUAAUUGAUUGAUGAACAUAAUUGAAAGGCGUUUUAUUUAAAGAAAUGAUCUUUCGUGUGCAACAUGCAACAGAUGUUGCAUGUAUAGUCAGUUACAGAAAUACUUUUACUCUAUAUUACAAGAAAAUUCAAUUUAUCCGAUUUUAUUAAAAUUUUGAUUUUAUUAAAAAUUUGAGUGUAUAUAAAGCAAUAAUGAAUUAUAUAUUGGAACCAUUUUUUUUUUCAUUGGGAAAUUUCCGGUGAAAUUUCUGAAGAGGUGAAAUCAAUUGAAGUUUCAUUAUUUUUUUAAUUUUACAAAAUACAAUUUCGUUUAAAGAUAUUAUUCAUAAGAUAAUAGAAUAUUAAAAAUUAAAUUUAUUAUUUAAAAAUUUUAUAAUUUAUAAUUUAACUUUGUAAUACAAGAUAAAGUAAAAUUUUAAAUUAUUUUGAAUAUUAUACUUCAUUUCCUUAAAGAUUUUAAUUUUUAUAUAUAAAAGAUUAUAUAUAAUAUAUUAUAAUUAUAAAUAUAUAUAUAAAUGAUUUAUUGUAUUUGAUAUAUACUCAAAUUAAUAAAAUUUUUGGAUAAAGUAAAUUCUUAUAAUAUAUAGUAAUAUUUCUAUGAUUAAUUAUAUUUUAAUAAGUUAUUGAUUUAAAAUUAUAAGCAAAAAUUCAUUUUUUUAAUUGAUUAUUUAAAUUAUAUAUAUAAAACUAUGAUAAUAUUUAUUAUCUAUUUUUUAUUUAAUCAUUAAUUAUUCAAGAAUAACUUCUUUCGUAAAUAUGUCUUUAUUUUAAUAAGUCCUGUUGUAAAUUCUUAGGUAAAUUAAAAUAAAAAUGAAUAAAAAUAUUAUAAGUUAAUAAAAUUUAAUUAAAAUAAAUUAUUCUCUGUUUAGAUGUUUAAAUAUUUUAUUGAUUUUUAAAAGAAGAUUAUGAAAAAAGAUUAUGAAAAAAACAAAUUAAGAUAUAAUCUAAUAAUGUUAGUAAAUUUUGUUAUUUCCAUAUUGCUGCAAAAAUUGUUGAAGAUCAAUGUAUGAAAUUUUAUAUUGCUAUUAAUAUUAAUUUUAUUAUAUUAAAUUAAAAUAAAUUAAAAUUACAUGGAUAUUUAAAAUACGAAAUAUAAAAUAUUGUAAUCAAAUAAAUUUAUUGAAUGUUAUAUAUAAUAUAUAUAUAAAUAUAGAAUUUAUUAUUCUAUAUAAAGACUAGUAUAAGAUAUAAAAGAUAUAUCUAUUACAUGUGUGAAUAAAAGAUAAAAAUCAUUCAAAUAAGUAUGAUAACUAUCUUGAAAUAGACUUAAAUGUUCUAUUAUCAAAAUGAUGAGAGACCAAUGAUACUGUUAUAUUCUAGUCAUGUGCAAGUCUCAAUUGAGGCUACUCGACUACACGAUUAGGAUUCCAAUAGAAUUUGGUCACUUCCUGAUGUUAUCGCAAUUUCGUCAUUUUGGUGCCAAAGAAAUCUGAAAGUUAAUUUCAAAAUAUCAGUUUAUACAUUGCAAUUGAAAUUAGAAAAUUAGAAUCAUCAUUUAAUGAUGAAUGCAAAAAAUAAAAAUUAUUUCUAUUAAUUUAUUUAAUUUAAUUUAAAAUUAAUUUUUGUAAGAGCUUCCAAGUUUUAAUUUUUUAAUUCCAAUUUUUAUUGUUAUCAAUUGUAUUUUAUUAUAUAUUAUAUUGUUAUCAAUUGUAUUAUAUUAUAUAUUAUAUUUUUAUUAUCUAUAAUUGUCAUUAUAUUAUUAUCUAUAAUUGUAUCAUUAUAUUAUUAAUUAUAAUAUUUUUAUUUUUUACCUUAUAUUAUAAAUUUAUCUUGGUAUUUUAAAAUAAAUAUGCAAAAGAAUUACAAUAAUAAGUAAGCAAGAUAAUUUUUGCAAAAUAAUUCUUUAAUCUAUUUUAAACUUAGUUUAAAUUAGUUCUGUCCAAAAUUAUUUUUAUAUGAUAAAAAAUAUUAUUUGUCUAAAUAUAAAAAUAUAAAAAUUAAAUUAAUUGUAAAUUAAUGAAUAAAAUUCAAUAAAAAAUAUAUAAUUUUUAAA